rnacentral:misc_RNA from 1 species
AGCACACUGCCCCUCCCCGGGCCAUCGGCGUUUUCCUAUACGGAAAUCCGCCCCCUCCACCGCACCACUGCGCCCCCUCUCCUCUUCUCUCUACGCAGUAGCUCUGCUCUCAGUACCAGCGCCGUCGUUCUCUCUCGGCUUCGCUGCGCUCUCACGCACUCAUUAACCUCUCUCGCUUCCUUGGACCUUUUCUACGCUCUGAAUUGCUCACCUCCUCUCGCUCCCGCUCGCAUAUUUUUUGUCUGCUGCUGCUGCUGCCUCUGCUGCUGCCUCUGCUGCUCUUUCUUUGUCGGCCCGAGCAGGCUUUUCUUUUUUCGGCGUUGAUGACGAAAAAAACUCGCAGAAACCACAUAGAAAGGCAGCGACCUUCAAGAGCUGUAUCGAUGGGAUCCGUAGCGUCUUGCGAUCGCCCUCAACUCCCUCUCUGCCUCUGUCCCCUUGACAGCUGCAAGGCACGCUCUCCCGCCUCCUCUAAUCGCUUGUGGACCCCUCGCCCACACCUCACACACCGAAGUACUCUGGCCGCGAGUACUCGCACACACACAUAUAUAUAGGGCACACUGCCCACACCUCUCGCACCCCAUCAAGAGCGAAUGGGGCAGUACACACGCGACGAGUGGUCGCUGUAGCGGCGCUGCUUCGCUGCAUAACCCCCGACGCCACGCGUCGAGCUCGGUGUGCGCGUGCCGGGCUCGGGUCUGGAUGGGCCGUCGCAUGCUCACGGUCUGCGGACCCGAUGGCGAGGGGGUCUCCCUCGACGAGCGCACCCGCGUCUCCGUGCAGAUCGCACCCGGGGGCACCCGGGGGGACUUGGCGCCUGAGCCAAAGAUGACGGCUGCAGGAAGCGCAGGGCUUGUCGGCGCCGGGCACAUGUAGCGAUGGCAGAGGCAGGCGGCGUAGAAGACGCAGCCACACACCCCUCAGGAUACGGCAGGAUGCGUGCGCUCAGCAGACAAACUGUGAGUCGCCGUGCCUCGCGGGCGGCUAAUGGUGUACGCGGGCAGGGCGAAGGGGUGGUGCACACGAAGGGGUGCGUUGGAGACGUCGACUCGAACUAGC